rnacentral:lncRNA from 1 species
CUGGUGGUGCCGCGCGGGUUCUCCACCGGCACGGAAUUGUUGAACACCAGCGCCCACAGCAGCCACACCGACUUCCCCACCGUGAACGUGGGGCCGCCCGCGCCUGUGGGUCACGUUGUCACCGUGUCACAUUGUCACCGUGCCACAUUGUCACCGUGUCACCAAGGUACCAUGUCACCACGUCACCAAGUCACCACGUCACCAAGUCACCAUGUCACCAAGUCACCACGUCACCAAGUCACCAUGUCACCAAGUCACUGAGUUGUCACCACGUCACGGUGCAGCCACACCGACUUCCCCACUGUGAACACGGGGCCGCCUGCGUCUGUGGGUCACGUUGUCACCGCGUCACGUUGUCACCGUGCCACAUUGUCACCAUGUCACCAAGGUACCACGUCACCAAGUCACCAUGUCACCUUGUCACCAUGUCACGGUGUAGCCACACCGACUUCCCCACCGUGAACGUGGGGCUGCCCACGCCUGUGGGUCACGUUGUCACUGUCAUGUUGUCACCAUGUCACCAAGUCACCACGUCACCAAGUCACCACGUCACCAUGUCACCAAGUCACCAUGUCACCAAGUCACCAAUUCACCAAGUCACCACGUCACCAAGUCACCACGCCACCACGCCACCACGUCACCACGUCACCACGUCACCACGUCACCAAGUCACCAUGUCACCAUGUCACCACGUCACCAAGUCACCAUGUCACCAAGUCACCAAGUCACCAAGUCACCACGUCACCAAGUCACCAAGUCACCACGCCACCACGCCACCACGUCACCACGUCACCACAUCACCACGCCACCACGUCACCACGUCACCAAGUCACCAUGUCACCAUGUCAUGACACUGCCACACCGACUUCCCCACUGUGAACACGGGGCCGCCUGCGCCUGUGGGUCACGUUGUCACCGUGUCACAUUGUCACCGUGCCACAUUGUCACCGUGUCACCAAGGUACCAUGUCACCAUGUCACCAAGUCACCACGUCACCAAGUCACCAUGUCACCAAGUCACUGAGUUGUCACCACGUCACGGUGCUGCCACACCGACUUCUCCACCGUGAACGUGGGGCCGCCUGCGUCUGUGGGUCACGUUGUCACCGGGUCACACUGUCACCGUGUCACAUUGUCACCGGGUCACAUUGUCAUCAUGUCACCAAGGUACCACGUCACCAUGUCACCAUGUCACGGUGCAGCCACACCGACUUCCCCACCAUGAAUGUGGGGCUGCCCACACCUGUGGGUCACGUUGUCACCGUGUCAUAUUGUCACCAUGUCAUGUUGUCACCAUGUCACCGUGUCACCAAGGUACCAUGUCACCAAGUCACCAUGUCACCAUGUCAUGGUGUAGCCACACCAACAUCCCCACCGUGAACGUGGGGCUGCCCGCGCCUGUGGGUCACGUUGUCACCAUGUCACGUUGUCACCGUGUCACAUUGUCACCGUGUCACGUUGUCACUGUGUCACAUUGUCACUGUGUCACAUUGUCACUGUGUCACGUUGUCACCGUGUCACGUUGUCACCGUGUCAC